GGAGGUGCAGCCCUGUGCUGUGGGGCAGGCUCUUGUUGUGGUGGCUGGGGCCCUGAUUCUGCGCUCCCUGGGUCUCUGGCCAGCAGCGUGACCUUGGAGAUGCC
rnacentral:pre_miRNA from 18 species